ensembl:snoRNA
AUCCUUUUGCAGUUCAUAAGCAUGAUGACUGUGUGUUCACACUCCUGUGUGAGAUGUGCCUCCCUCAAAUCCUGUUACGACAUCAGCACAUUACCCAUCAGAUG